CACGUAGGGUGCGAGCGUUGUCCGGAAUUAUUGGGCGUAAAGAGCUCGUAGGCGGUUUGUCGCGUCUGCUGUGAAAACUCGAGGCUCAACCUCGGGCUUGCAGUGGGUACGGGCAGACUAGAGUGCGGUAGGGGUGACUGGAAUUCCUGGUGUAGCGGUGGAAUGCGCAGAUAUCAGGAGGAACACCGAUGGCGAAGGCAGGUCACUGGGCCGCAACUGACGCUGAGGAGCGAAAGCAUGGGGAGCGAACAGG
rnacentral:rRNA from 1 species